CCUACGUGUGACAGCAGUGAGGAAUAUUGGUCAAUGGGCGCGAGCCUGAACCAGCCAAGUCGCGUGAGGGAAGACGGCCCUACGGGUUGUAAACCUCUUUUGCCGGGGAGCAACGGGCGCCACGUGUGGCGCCACUGAGAGUACCCGGAGAAAAAGCAUCGGCUAACUCCGUGCCAGCAGCCGCGGUAAUACGGAGGAUGCGAGCGUUAUCCGGUUUUAUUGGGUUUAAAGGGUGCGUAGGCGGAGCGUUAAGUCAGUGGUAAAAUUGAGGGGCUCAACCCCUUCCCGCCGUUGAAACUGGCGCUCUUGAGUGGGAGAGAAGUAUGCGGAAUGCGUGGUGUAGCGGUGAAAUGCAUAGAUAUCACGCAGAACCCCGAUUGCGAAGGCAGCAUGCCGGCUUCCGACUGACGCUGAGGCACGAAAGCGUGGGGAUCGAACAGGAUUAGAUACCCCUGUAGUC
rnacentral:rRNA from 1 species